rnacentral:misc_RNA from 1 species
UUCGAUUAUGGCUCAGAUUGAACGCUGGCGGGAUGCUUUACAUGCAAGUCGAACGGCAGCACGGACUUCGGUCUGGUGGCGAGUGGCGAACGGGUGAGUAAUGUGGCAUCGGAACGUGCCUGAUAGCGAGGGAGUUAACUACGCGAAAGCGUAGCUAAUACCGCAUACGCCCUUCGGGGAAAGCGGGGACCUUCCGGGCCUCGCACUAUUAGAGCGGCCGAUAUCCGGAUUAGCUAGUUGGUGGGGUAACGGCUCACCAAGGCGACGAUCCAUGUUGGUUUGAAGGACGACCAGCCGCACUGGGACUGAGACACGGCCCAGACUCCUACGGGAGGCAGCAGUGGGGAAUUUGGAC